CGCUGGCGGCAGGCCUAACACAUGCAAGUCGAGCGGUAGCACAAGGGAGCUUGCUCCCUGGGUUGACGAGCGGCGGACGGGUGAGUAAUGUCUGGGGAUCUGCCUGAUGGAGGGGGAUAACUACUGGAAACGGUAGCUAAUACCGCAUAACGUCGCAAGACCAAAGUGGGGGACCUUAGGGCCUCAUGCCAUCGGAUGAACCCAGAUGGGAUUAGCUAGUAGGUGGGGUAAUGGCUCACCUAGGCGACGAUCCCUAGCUGGUCUGAGAGGAUGACCAGCCACACUGGAACUGAGACACGGUCCAGACUCCUACGGGAGGCAGCAGUGGGGAAUAUUGCACAAUGGGCGCAAGCCUGAUGCAGCCAUGCCGCGUGUGUGAAGAAGGCCUUAGGGUUGUAAAGCACUUUCAGCGAGGAGGAAGGAUGAAGUGUGGAGCUCUGAGACAGGUGCUGCAUGGCUGUCGUCAGCUCGUGUUGUGAGAUGUUGGGUUAAGUCCCGCAACGAGCGCAACCCUUAUCCUUCGUUGCCAGCGAUUCGGUCGGGAACUCAAAGGAGACUGCCGGUGAUAAACCGGAGGAAGGUGGGGAUGACGUCGAGUCAUCAUGGCCCUUACGAGUAGGGCUACACACGUGCUACAAUGGCGUAUACAAAGAGAAGCGAGCCUGCGAGGGGAAGCGGACCUCAUAAAGUACGUCGUAGUCCGGAUUGGAGUCUGCAACUCGACUCCAUGAAGUCGGAAUCGCUAGUAAUCGUAGAUCAGAAUGCUACGGUGAAUACGUUCCCGGGCCUUGUACACACCGCCCGUCACANCCAUGGGAGUGGGUUGCAAAAGAAGUAGGUAGCUUAACCUUCGGGAGGGCGCUUACCACUUUGUGGUUCAUGA
rnacentral:rRNA from 1 species